rnacentral:lncRNA from 1 species
AUGAAUAUGAGGAUAAGUAAGCUAAGGGCAAUACAGAAAGUUUUCUCUUUCCUAAAAGAAAGGCACAUAUGGGAGAAAAAAAUCUCUCUUCUUCAGGAAAUUCUUCUCUUUCCUGCAUGUGAUCCCUUGAACUGCUGCUACCGCCUUGCCACCUGCCUAAGGAGGAAGGUCAAUGCUGAGGAGUUGGAGCAAAGAGAUAGGAAGAACAUGAGUCUAUGGCAUUGUUGUGCCUUGCUGUCUCUGGACUUCUUUUAUGGAAGAAUUCAUCAUCUCGACUGCCCCCUGAGUCUACGAGAUAUGUCCGCAGACAAGCUGACUGCCUGCACCAUAGUCAACAGUCAGUAGCAUUAAGCUCCACCUGAGACAGAUGUGUUUCCAAAACGCACAGAGGGAUUUGCUGGCCUGAGCACAGCAAAAGUGUGAUAACUGAAAAAUAAAUAAAUAAAUAAAUAAAGUGGGAUCAUGCCCACCCAUCCCUCCAGCUAGACUGCAUGUUUUGUGCACAAAACUAUGUCAGGGUAGCUCCUCCUCAGGGUAAAGAAAGAAAGAGCUAUGGCCUGAAGAAGCCGUGGGCCUGGUAUGCUGGGAGGGUCUGCUCUUCCAGGGUGUGAAGCUGGUCAUGACAGACCCAGGGAUGUGCGUACUUUGUUUAGCAAGGUGCUCAAGGUUUGGCACUUGUCAGUAGUUUCUAUGGCUCAGCAUUCUUGAAUCGACAGUCUGAUGCACUAAUACCCGCCCAUGAGAACUCACAGCUCCUAAUGUUUUUUUAUUCAAAAGUUAACCAUUGAAUGGAAAACAGACCAGCCAAAAAGACUCUACCCCAAACAAACAAAAUACAAAUAGAAAAACAAACAGCGCUGUUCAGAGCUCAGCUCUGUUGACUGUUCAGAGCAGAAAUCAGAAUUAGGCCUCAUCUAGUUCUUUCAGAGAGUCUAGGGCAGAAGACAACUCCCUGGGUGUCAGCCGUGGUCUGAAGUCACCAGAAUCUGGAACACAUGAAGAAAGGGUGCAAGGAUUCAAGGUAAAGGCAGCCGUGCGUUUGGUUUGGUUGUUUUGUUCUGGCCCUGCUCACCUCAGGAACACAUGAGGUCAGACACCUGGCCCUAAGAAGGCUGCAAAGCAUCUGAUCCUACUGCACGUCUGCCUGGUCUCCUAGAAGGAAGGGCUUUCCUGCGGAGGAAGCUGGCUUACUGUGAAGCUUACCAGAGCUCACGCUCCCGAGGGGUCACUAGCCUGCCUGCCCAACUCCCUCCCAUAAACAAUGCCCUUUGACUACAAAGUGGUGAGACUUAUCUCGGGAGCCAGACUUGGAAGUAUAUCUCGUUGCUGUUUGGUUGCACUGGGUAGGUGACACACUUGGAACACCUCAGAGGACAGAGGGGUCAAAAAGGUGUCACUUUUUACCUAAAGCACUAAAACCUGUUCAUCAUGGGUAAGAACAG